rnacentral:snRNA from 1 species
UCUCUGACGUCAGCAGUACAUCCAUUGGACCUGGGGUGACACAGAGAUUAGCGCAAGGAUGGCACGUAAGUCAGGAAAGCUGGAACUCUU